CUACGGGGCGCAGCAGUGGGGAAUAUUGGACAAUGGGGGAAACCCUGAUCCAGCAAUGCCGCGUGUGUGAAGAAGGCCUGCGGGUUGUAAAGCACUUUCGGUUGGGAGGACUGCUUCUAGCACUAAUAUUGUUGGAAGUUGAUGUUACCUUCAGAAGAAGCACCGGGUAACUCCGUGCCAGCAGCCGCGGUGAUACGGAGGGUGCAAGCGUUAAUCGGAAUUACUGGGCGUAAAGCGCGCGUAGGCGGCUAGAUCAGUCGGGUGUGAAAGCCCCGGGCUUAACCUGGGAACUGCAUCCGAUACUGUCUAGCUUGAGUACAGGAGAGGAGAGUGGAAUUCCACAUGUAGCGGUGAAAUGCGUAGAUAUGUGGAGGAACACCAAUGGCGAAGGCAGCUCUCUGGCCUGAUACUGACGCUGAGGUGCGAAAGCGUGGGGAGCAAACAGGAUUAGAUACCCUCGUAGUC
rnacentral:rRNA from 1 species